rfam:Pan troglodytes isolate Yerkes chimp pedigree #C0471 (Clint) chromosome 22, whole genome shotgun sequence.
GCCAGGUUUGGUAGUGCAUGCCUGUAGUCCCAGCUACUUGGGAGGCAGAGGGAGGAGGAUUACUUGAGCCCAGGAGUUUGAGGUUGCAGUGAGCUGUGAUCACACCACUGCACUCUAGCCUGGACAACAGAGCAAGAUCCUCUCUCUU